rnacentral:rRNA from 1 species
AGUGAACGCUGGCGGUAGGCCUAACACAUGCAAGUCGAACGGCAGCACAGUAAGAGCUUGCUCUUACGGGUGGCGAGUGGCGGACGGGUGAGGAAUACAUCGGAAUCUACUUUUUCGGGGGGGAUAACGUAGGGAAACUUACGCUAAUACCGCAUACGACCUACGGGUGAAAGCAGGGGAUCUUCGGACCUUGCGCGAUUGAAUGAGCCGAUGUCGGAUUAGCUAGUUGGCGGGGUAAAGGCCCACCAAGGCGACGAUCCGUAGCUGGUCCGAGAGGAUGAUCAGCCACACUGGCAGUGAGACACGGUCCAGACUCCUACGGUAGGCAGCGGUGGGGAAUAUUGGACAAUGGGCGAAAGCCUGAUCCAGCCAUACCGCGUGGGUGAAGAAGGCCUUCGGGUUGUAAAGCCCUUUUGUUGGGAAAGAAAAGCAGCAGGUUAAUACCCCGCUGUUCUGACGGUACCCAAAGAAUAAGCACCGGCUAACUUCGUG